rnacentral:lncRNA from 1 species
ACCCAAAAUAGCCCAAACAAUAACAGCCUCAACCGACCCAAUUAUUGUCUUGGGCCCAUUUAUCUAUUCAAUUUUAAUGUCCCAACUCCAAUUUAAAAUCAGCACCCACCAUUUAAAACCUGACCCGGCCCACCAUCAAUAAAUCCCCCUUAUACUCCUCAUCAUCAGCAACAUCAAUGAAAAAUGGCAAUAUCAAAACAAACGUAGCAAUCCCAAAUCGCGUCAACAUAAUAAUCUAACAACAAACGACCUCGAAUCACGACAACAACAUCAUGAACCAUCAAUCCAUGUCCAACGAUGAUACCCAACCCCAGCCUGUUCCAUUUUCACUAUUGCCACGUGUUUUGAGUAUUCGUAGGAAAGGAAACUCCUUAAACGUUCUAGAACAGCAUAAUCUUCUAGAAGAUCGAUGAGGUGUCUCCCCCAACAUCCAUAAUUUGUGAAUCUUAGGAUGAACGUACAAAUCUGGUACAUAUUUGGCGAUUUUUCAUUGGGUCUAGAGAAGAAUUCGUUUCUCCAAUUUUCUAUUGGUCCACCAAACCUAAAAUUGGUACCGAGAGGGGAUAAAACCCCGGCUGUAUAGGGGGUUCCAGUUUGAAUUUUAAAAUGGGUCCUUCUUUCAAAUCCCUAAUGGAUCCCUAAUGGGGUCUUCUAUAUAAGGUUCAUCGCGUCAUUGUUGGUUAGAAGGAAAAAGGGGUCAAAAAUUCGGUGGCUUAUUCUCUUUUUGGGUAGAGAAAAUCAGGUGGUGUUCAAAAAUUUUGGGAGGUUCAGAAAUUUUUCUUUCUUUUCUUUAAAGGGUUUGAAAGUUUAGGCUGAAAACUGGAGGUUUCAAAAUUUCUUAAGUUUGAAGGUUAGAAGUAAUUUUUGGUGAAACUGAAAGGAAAUUCGAGAGUUCUAAAUUCAAGUUGAAUUUUUAUAGUUGAAAGUGGUUUUCAAAAUCUCUAAGAGAAAAAAGCAAAGAGAUGCUCUGUUGGUAGUCGACGUCGUGAGAUUCUAAUAGCGACAAGUUUACUGAUAGCUCGUCGUUCCGUUUGCUGCCACGAAACAGGUAACUCCCCAUUCCAUCAAAUUUCAUUCAUUUCUACUUCAUCUCAAUCUUCUCUAGUUAUAAGUUUUUAUAGCGAUAUUACUUGCUGAGUUGUCUGUUGUUGGAAGUCUUGAAGACUGUAGGUUGUUUUCUUAGCGAAAAAAAAACAUUAUUGAUUGAUUUUUGAUCGAAUACUCUCAUGUUUGUGUAACCACUUAAGGUUUGUGCAGCAGACCUCAUUAAAGUGUCGUGACUUAAUAGUCUUCAGGUUGAUAAUAUAUGGUUUUAGCUGACUUUAUGUCAAAUUUCAUGUUUUGAUCGUUUUCAUUUUUGGAUUGAUGGUAUUCGGUUGUAGCUGAAUUUACAGUAAAGUUGCAUGUUUUGACAGUUUUCGGGCUAAAGGUAUCUUGUUAUAGUUGAUUCCUAUGUUAAAGUUUGGUGUUUGGUUAGUUUCAGUUCAACGGUGUGUUGGUUUUGUAGUUGAGGAUUUUUGCUUUGAUCUUAUUCAAUAGUUCGAACUAAGGGUGUUUUGUACGUAUUUAACGUCAUCUCGUUUGUCGUUAUUAGUUGAUGUUAUUGAACUGGAAGUGUCAUUAACCGGACUUCCUAUUGAGUAUUUGGCUUCUUCUAUGACAAAGAACAUGAGGAUACGUCUGAUAAAAGUAGUAAAUCCCGUGAUUUCUCGAUGAUCGUUUUGAUCGUUAAACUCAUUUUGAGUUUGUCAAAAGAGGAUGAGGUUGAUAUUUGUGCCCAUCCAUCUCCCUUUUGGCUUUAUUUUGUCUCUUGAACUCGUUGCUAAUAUGUGGUCGGGAUAGGGAGACGGAUGUGCUAGUUGCGAUUUUGGAGUAAGUCUCUUUAAAGAAAAUAGUCCAAUUUUGUUUUCUUUAUGGGAACGGAGUGUCACAGUUUUUGGUUUCUUUGAAUAUCUGCUGAUUGAAUGAAAUUUGUGUUUAUACGUCCACCUCGCUUCUUUUCGUGUUCACUCUGUCUCUUGACUAGGACAGGGGAAGGCUAGGUUUAUGCACGCAAUUCCCGAAACAACUUGCAAAUUAUUUUCUCUUUAUCUCUACAAACUCGUUAACAUCACAUAGUCUUGGUAUGGAUGGGUUUAUCUGAAGUGAAUGGUUGUAUUCUGCUUUUAGUAUUAGGAACGUUAAUUGUUUCUUGGUUCAAGUGAGAAUUUCUUUGCUUCCAUUGAUUGGUUUGUCUUGUAUAUUUUACGACGUAAAAGAAUAGAAUUGAAAUAGAUUUGUCUUAGUUCAUCUGUAGUGUAAAUUUAUCUGUUUUUAGAAGAUACCUUCAACUCUUCGGUCUGGUAUUACAGUUAAACACUUUGAUGGGCAGUUGAUGAAAUUUCCUUAGCCUCCGUGUGUUUCUUUUCAUUGAUAAGUUUGUGAAGUUUUUUGUUCGUCACAAAGGGAAUUGGUUGGGGUUUACUAUUAACGUACGAUCCUCUAAUAAAUAUUGCAACAUUUAAUAGCAUAGAAGAUAAAACCAACAUCAUAUCCUACUCUCAAUUAAAUAACUAAUAUAUUAGGUCAGGAAGAGUGCCUUUUCUUUUACUGGAAUCUUUUCAUUCAUAUACACGCCUCCAUGCAAAGUCAGUAGGGUGUAAUAUAUCGUGUUCCCUUCAAUAUUUAUGUUAAAAAUUUAAAAUCAUUAGAUACGAGUGUUUGUUCAGUGAGUUUGCACCUAAUCUUUCAUUUUAUGCUCGGGUAUGGGGUAGUGAUUUCAGAAUUUCCUUUGUUGUUGGAAUAAUUUGUUUCUAUGAACAUAUAUUAAUUCCUAUACUUUUCUUUUCUUCACAUGAAUACGCUCUGGAGUUCAAGAGUACUCAUUCCCCUUACAUUCCUUAAUGGGCCAGUGAGGCCCAUCAUCAUUGAGUCAAGCCCGAAGUUCUAAGCUCAAAAGUGAUCCUAUGGCACAUACACGUGUGGAGUUGGAGAAGAAGAAUAGAUUAAAGUCUCAUUCUUGAAGUGGAGAUGAGACCCGUGUCUCCUUUAUAUUUAUUUAUUUUUCAUCGUUAUUUAUCUAUUUUUCUCCUAUUUAUUUAUUCCUUCGAUUAUUUAUUUGAGUCUUUUAAUGAAGGGCAAAAAGUUCAAAUCA